GCGACCGGGAGUACAGAUGACCGGAAGUAUAAGCACUGGGUGGGGCUGCCCUUUUCGGGUGCCGCAGCCGUCAUGUGGCCAAUACAUGCUAAGGUUUUUCCAUUCCUCGUUUAGCACAUCGUAAGCUGAUGCAGUUUCGUUUAUGUUGCUGGGCUUUGGAGGCAAACAGAGCACAAACGGGCAAGUUUGCCAUGUCCCCAGGGAGCAGCGGUUUUGCCGCUGUUGUGGCAC
rnacentral:lncRNA from 1 species